rnacentral:lncRNA from 1 species
GGGGCAGAGCCCAGCGCACCCUCACCCUGUCCGACAAGGUUCUCCUCGGGGACAGGGCUCCCUGCAGUGCUGGGGCUGCCACUGUCCUGCACGAGCCCCGGCUGUGCAGCAGGGCCUGACCAGCACCCCUGCCCCGUCUUCACCUACAGGAGAAGAAGGAGCGGGCGAGGAGACGUGGGCUCGCCUUCUGGAUGAAGACAAUCUGCCUCAUCUUCGUCAGCCUCCUGCUGCUGCUCGUUGCCGUGCUGGGCUCUGCAGUGCUGUACGCCCAGCACUAUGACCAGGAGCUGUUGUAUCGGCUCCUGCUGCGAGUGCUGCCCC